rnacentral:misc_RNA from 1 species
GAUGAAGAACGCAGCGAAAUGCGAUAAGUAAUGUGAAUUGCAGAAUUCAGUGAAUCAUCGAAUCUUUGAACGCACAUUGCGCCCGCCAGUAUUCUGGCGGGCAUGCCUGUCUGAGCGUCAUUUCAACCCUCAUGCCCCUAGGGCGUGGUGUUGGGGAUCGGCCAAAGCCCGCGAGGGACGGCCGGCCCCUAAAUCUAGUGGCGGACCCGUCGUGGCCUCCUCUGCGAAGUAGUGAUAUUCCGCAUCGGAGAGCGAUCAGCCCCUGCCGUUAAACCCCCAACUUUCCAAGGUUGACCUCAGAUCAGGUAGGAAUACCCGCUGAACUUAAGCAUAUCAAUAAGCGGAGGA